ensembl:lncRNA
AGGGAAACUCAGACAUGGGACAAGGGAAACAAUGCUUACUCUCCCAAAUAUAGAGGGAGGAAGGGAACACUUACGAAGGAAAGGAGGGCUAUCAUUUAGGUUGUACCAUAAAUUCCUUCAUCACUGAGAUAAAAGGCGGGGAGAAGGAUGGUUGACUGAGAGGGCUGAUCCAGAGGUGUGAUUUUUAACUUGAUUGUUUUGGUUUAACAGCAGGACAUUCAGGAAGAGACUUCCCAUAGAUACAAGGAUAUAUAUGUAAACUCAGUGACUAGGAUCUCAUGGGCAAAGUGUGUCCAGUGGUUCCAUUUAAAAGGGAACUUGAAAUUGAGCCACGGAGCUUGGCUGCAGUCCUCAUGCUAAGUGAUUCCAAGAGGAGACAUUCGCUCAUGACCAAGGUGACCAGGGCUUUGAAGAGGAGAAACAAAGCAGGAAAGAGGAGAUGCAGGUUCAUCCCUGGGUGGGGAAGACCCCCCCAGGAGAAGGAAAUGGCAACCCACUCUAGUAUUCUUGCCUGGAGAAUUCCACAGACAGAGGAGCCUGGAGAGCUACAGUCCAUAGGAUCACAAGGAGCUGGACAUGACUGAGCAUAGCACAGCUAGCCAGCUAAGGAUGGAUUAGGUGGCAUAUACUCAUCAACCAUUUUCAUUACUUUUUUUAAAAAUUUACAUACAGUAAACUCCAUUUUUGUUGUUGUUCAGUCCUAUGAGGUUUUAUACAUGCAUAGAUUUUUGUAAUCACUGCCAUAAACAGGAUACAAAACAACAUGUACACCCAAAAGAAUCUCCUCAUGCUGCCCUCGUAUAGUCAGUUUCUGGCCCCUCCCCAUGGCAACCAUUCAUCUGUUCUUACAGUUUUGCCUUUUCCAGACUGCGAUAUGAAG